AUACGGAGGGUGCAAGCGUUAAUCGGAAUUACUGGGCGUAAAGCGCACGUAGGUGGUUUGGUAAGUCGGAUGUGAAAUCCCCGGGCUUAACCUGGGAAUGGCAUUCGAGACUGUCAAGCUAGAGUCUGGUAGAGGGUGGUGGAAUUCCAGGUGUAGCGGUGAAAUGCGUAGAUAUCUGGAGGAACAUCAGUGGCGAAGGCGGCCACCUGGACUGAGACUGACACUGAGGUGCGAAAGCGUGGGUAGCAAACAGGAUUAGAUACCCUGGUAGUCCACGCCGUAAACGAUGAGAACUAGAUGUUGGGAGGGUUAAACCUUCUAGUGUCGCAGCUAACGCAUUAAGUUCUCCGCCUGGGGAGUACGGCCGCAAGGUUAAA
rnacentral:rRNA from 1 species